rnacentral:rRNA from 1 species
AACGCGAAGAACCUUACCUGGGCUUGACAUGCUUGGAUUAUCCCUAUGAAAGUAGGGUAGGCCCUUCGGGGUACAACAAGUACAGGUGCUGCAUGGCUGUCGUCAGCUCGUGUCGUGAGAUGUCGGGUUAAGUCCCUUAACGAGCGAAACCUUUGCCCUUAGUUACCAGCGGGUUAUGCCGGGGACUCUAAGGGGACUGCCGGUGUCAAACCGGAGGAAGGUGGAGAUGACGUCAAGUCCUCAUGGCCUUUAUGCCCAGGGCCACACACGUGCUACAAUGGGGUGCACAAAGCGAACCUAAAGCGCAAGCUCAUGGAAAUCGCAAAAAUCACCCCCCAGUUCAGAUUGGAGGCUGCAACUCGCCUCCAUGAAGUUGGAAUCGCUAGUAAUCGCGGAUCAGCUACGCCGCGGUGAAUGUGUUCCCGGGCCUUGUACACACCGCAUAC